rnacentral:rRNA from 1 species
UUAAGCGACUAAGCGUACACGGUGGAUGCCCUGGCAGUCAGAGGCGAUGAAGGACGUGCUAAUCUGCGAUAAGCGUCGGUAAGGUGAUAUGAACCGUUAUAACCGGCGAUUUCCGAAUGGGGAAACCCAGUGUGAUUCGUCACACUAUCAUUAACUGAAUCCAUAGGUUAAUGAGGCGAACCGGGGGAACUGAAACAUCUAAGUACCCCGAGGAAAAGAAAUCAACCGAGAUUCCCCCAGUAGCGGCGAGCGAACGGGGAGCAGCCCAGAGCCUGAAUCAGUGUGUGUGUUAGUGGAAGCGUCUGGAAAGGCGCGCGAUACAGGGUGACAGCCCCGUACACAAAAAUGCACAUGCUGUGAGCUCGAUGAGUAGGGCGGGACACGUGGUAUCCUGUCUGAAUAUGGGGGGACCAUCCUCCAAGGCUAAAUACUCCUGACUGACCGAUAGUGAACCAGUACCGUGAGGGAAAGGCGAAAAGAACCCCGGCGAGGGGAGUGAAAAAGAACCUGAAACCGUGUACGUACAAGCAGUGGGAGCACGCUUAGGCGUGUGACUGCGUACCUUUUGUAUAAUGGGUCAGCGACUUAUAUUCUGUAGCAAGGUUAACCGAAUAGGGGAGCCGAAGGGAAACCGAGUCUUAACUGGGCGUUAAGUUGCAGGGUAUAGACCCGAAACCCGGUGAUCUAGCCAUGGGCAGGUUGAAGGUUGGGUAACACUAACUGGAGGACCGAACCGACUAAUGUUGAAAAAUUAGCGGAUGACUUGUGGCUGGGGGUGAAAGGCCAAUCAAACCGGGAGAUAGCUGGUUCUCCCCGAAAGCUAUUUAGGUAGCGCCUCGUGAAUUCAUCUCCGGGGGUAGAGCACUGUUUCGGCAAGGGGGUCAUCCCGACUUACCAACCCGAUGCAAACUGCGAAUACCGGAGAAUGUUAUCACGGGAGACACACGGCGGGUGCUAACGUCCGUCGUGAAGAGGGAAACAACCCAGACCGCCAGCUAAGGUCCCAAAGUCAUGGUUAAGUGGGAAACGAUGUGGGAAGGCCCAGACAGCCAGGAUGUUGGCUUAGAAGCAGCCAUCAUUUAAAGAAAGCGUAAUAGCUCACUGGUCGAGUCGGCCUGCGCGGAAGAUGUAACGGGGCUAAACCAUGCACCGAAGCUGCGGCAGCGACGCUUAUGCGUUGUUGGGUAGGGGAGCGUUCUGUAAGCCUGUGAAGGUGUACUGUGAGGUAUGCUGGAGGUAUCAGAAGUGCGAAUGCUGACAUAAGUAACGAUAAAGCGGGUGAAAAGCCCGCUCGCCGGAAGACCAAGGGUUCCUGUCCAACGUUAAUCGGGGCAGGGUGAGUCGACCCCUAAGGCGAGGCCGAAAGGCGUAGUCGAUGGGAAACAGGUUAAUAUUCCUGUACUUGGUGUUACUGCGAAGGGGGGACGGAGAAGGCUAUGUUGGCCGGGCGACGGUUGUCCCGGUUUAAGCGUGUAGGCUGGUUUUCCAGGCAAAUCCGGAAAAUCAAGGCUGAGGCGUGAUGACGAGGCACUACGGUGCUGAAGCAACAAAUGCCCUGCUUCCAGGAAAAGCCUCUAAGCAUCAGGUAACAUCAAAUCGUACCCCAAACCGACACAGGUGGUCAGGUAGAGAAUACCAAGGCGCUUGAGAGAACUCGGGUGAAGGAACUAGGCAAAAUGGUGCCGUAACUUCGGGAGAAGGCACGCUGAUAUGUAGGUGAAGUCCCUCGCGGAUGGAGCUGAAAUCAGUCGAAGAUACCAGCUGGCUGCAACUGUUUAUUAAAAACACAGCACUGUGCAAACACGAAAGUGGACGUAUACGGUGUGACGCCUGCCCGGUGCCGGAAGGUUAAUUGAUGGGGUCAGCGCAAGCGAAGCUCUUGAUCGAAGCCCCGGUAAACGGCGGCCGUAACUAUAACGGUCCUAAGGUAGCGAAAUUCCUUGUCGGGUAAGUUCCGACCUGCACGAAUGGCGUAAUGAUGGCCAGGCUGUCUCCACCCGAGACUCAGUGAAAUUGAACUCGCUGUGAAGAUGCAGUGUACCCGCGGCAAGACGGAAAGACCCCGUGAACCUUUACUAUAGCUUGACACUGAACAUUGAGCCUUGAUGUGUAGGAUAGGUGGGAGGCUUUGAAGUGUGGACGCCAGUCUGCAUGGAGCCGACCUUGAAAUACCACCCUUUAAUGUUUGAUGUUCUAACGUUGACCCGUAAUCCGGGUUGCGGACAGUGUCUGGUGGGUAGUUUGACUGGGGCGGUCUCCUCCUAAAGAGUAACGGAGGAGCACGAAGGUUGGCUAAUCCUGGUCGGACAUCAGGAGGUUAGUGCAAUGGCAUAAGCCAGCUUGACUGCGAGCGUGACGGCGCGAGCAGGUGCGAAAGCAGGUCAUAGUGAUCCGGUGGUUCUGAAUGGAAGGGCCAUCGCUCAACGGAUAAAAGGUACUCCGGGGAUAACAGGCUGAUACCGCCCAAGAGUUCAUAUCGACGGCGGUGUUUGGCACCUCGAUGUCGGCUCAUCACAUCCUGGGGCUGAAGUAGGUCCCAAGGGUAUGGCUGUUCGCCAUUUAAAGUGGUACGCGAGCUGGGUUUAGAACGUCGUGAGACAGUUCGGUCCCUAUCUGCCGUGGGCGCUGGAGAACUGAGGGGGGCUGCUCCUAGUACGAGAGGACCGGAGUGGACGCAUCACUGGUGUUCGGGUUGUCAUGCCAAUGGCACUGCCCGGUAGCUAAAUGCGGAAGAGAUAAGUGCUGAAAGCAUCUAAGCACGAAACUUGCCCCGAGAUGAGUUCUCCCUGACUCCUUGAGAGUCCUGAAGGAACGUUGAAGACGACGACGUUGAUAGGCCGGGUGUGUAAGCGCAGCGAUGCGUUGAGCUAACCGGUACUAAUGAACCGUGAGGCUUAACCUU